GACGAACGCUGGCGGCGUGCUUAACACAUGCAAGUCGAACGGAAAGGCCCUGCUUUUGUGGGGUGCUCGAGUGGCGAACGGGUGAGUAACACGUGAGUAACCUGCCCUUGACUUUGGGAUAACUUCAGGAAACUGGGGCUAAUACCGGAUAGGAGCUCCUGCUGCAUGGUGGGGGUUGGAAAGUUUCGGCGGUUGGGGAUGGACUCGCGGCUUAUCAGCUUGUUGGUGGGGUAGUGGCUUACCAAGGCUUUGACGGGUAGCCGGCCUGAGAGGGUGACCGGCCACAUUGGGACUGAGAUACGGCCCAGACUCCUACGGGAGGCAGCAGUGGGGAAUAUUGCACAAUGGGCGGAAGCCUGAUGCAGCAACGCCGCGUGCGGGAUGACGGCCUUCGGGUUGUAAACCGCUUUCGCCUGUGACGAAGCGUGAGUGACGGUAAUGGGUAAAGAAGCACCGGCUAACUACGUGCCAGCAGCCGCGGUGAUACGUAGGGUGCGAGCGUUGUCCGGAUUUAUUGGGCGUAAAGGGCUCGUAGGUGGUUGAUCGCGUCGGAAGUGUAAUCUUGGGGCUUAACCCUGAGCGUGCUUUCGAUACGGGUUGACUUGAGGAAGGUAGGGGAGAAUGGAAUUCCUGGUGGAGCGGUGGAAUGCGCAGAUAUCAGGAGGAACACCAGUGGCGAAGGCGGUUCUCUGGGCCUUUCCUGACGCUGAGGAGCGAAAGCGUGGGGAGCGAACAGGCUUAGAUACCCUGGUAGUCCACGCUGUAAACGGUGGGUACUAGGUGUGGGGUCCAUUCCACGGGUUCCGUGCCGUAGCUAACGCUUUAAGUACCCCGCCUGGGGAGUACGGCCGCAAGGCUAAAACUCAAAGGAAUUGACGGGGCCCCGCACAAGCGGCGGAGCAUGCGGAUUAAUUCGAUGCAACGCGUAGAACCUUACCUGGGUUUGACAUGGAUCGGGAGUGCUCAGAGAUGGGUGUGCCUCUUUUGGGGUCGGUUCACAGGUGGUGCAUGGCUGUCGUCAGCUCGUGUCGUGAGAUGUUGGGUUAAGUCCCGCAACGAGCGCAACCCUUGUUCACUGUUGCCAGCACGUUAUGGUGGGGACUCAGUGGCGACCGCCGGGGUCAACUCGGAGGAAGGUGGGGAUGACGUCAAGUCAUCAUGCCCCUUAUGUCCAGGGCUUCACGCAUGCUACAAUGGCUGGUACAGAGAGUGGCGAGCCUGUGAGGGUGAGCGAAUCUCGGAAAGCCGGUCUCAGUUCGGAUUGGGGUCUGCAACUCGACCUCAUGAAGUCGGAGUCGCUAGUAAUCGCAGAUCAGCAACGCUGCGGUGAAUACGUUCCCGGGGCU
rnacentral:rRNA from 1 species